UACGUAGGAUGCAAGCGUUGUCCGGAAUCACUGGGCGUAAAGCGCACGUAGGCGGACUCGUAGGUCAAUUGUGAAAUACCUGGGCUCAACCCAGGAACUGCAGUUGAAACCGCUUGUCUUGAAUACCUGAGAGGGUGGGGGAAUACCUGGUGGAGAAGUGAAAUUCGUAGAGAUCAGGUGGAACACCGGAGGCGAAGGCGCCUGCCUGGCAGUGUAUUGACGCUGAGGUGCGAAAGUGCGGGGAGCAAACAGG
rnacentral:rRNA from 1 species